CGAGUGAAGCGGCAAAAGCUCAAAUUUGAAAUCUGGCUCUUUCAGAGUCCGAGUUGUAAUUUGAAGAAGGUAUCUUUGGGUCUGGCUCUUGUCUAUGUUUCUUGGAACAGAACGUCACAGAGGGUGAGAAUCCCGUGCGAUGAGAUGAUCCAGGCCUAUGUAAAGUUCCUUCGAAGAGUCGAGUUGUUUGGGAAUGCAGCUCUAAGUGGGUGGUAAAUUCCAUCUAAAGCUAAAUAUUGGCGAGAGACCGAUAGCGAACAAGUACAGUGAUGGAAAGAUGAAAAGAACUUUGAAAAGAGAGUGAAAAAGUACGUGAAAUUGUUGAAAGGGAAGGGCUUGAGAUCAGACUUGGUAUUUUGUAUGUUACUUCUUCGGGGGUGGCCUCUACAGUUUAUCGGGCCAGCAUCAGUUUGGGCGGUAGGAGAAUUGCGUUGGAAUGUGGCACGGCUUCGGUUGUGUGUUAUAGCCUUCGUCGAUACUGCCAGCCUAGACUGAGGACUGCGGUUUAUACCUAGG
rnacentral:rRNA from 1 species